UAUACCGUGAAACUGCGAAUGGCUCAUUAAAUCAGUUAUCGUUCAUUUGAUGGUAUCUUACUACUUGGAUAACCGUGGUAAUUCUAGAGCUAAUACAUGCCAAAAACCCCAACUCACGGAGGGGUGUAUUUAUUAGAUUUAAACCAGUGCCUUUUUUGGCUCAUGGUGAUUCAUGAUAACUAAACGCAGCGCAUGGCCUUGUGCCGGCGCGGGAUCAUUCAAAUACCUGCCCUAUCAAGUUUCGAUGUGAGGGUAGUGUCCUCACAUGCUUUUGACGGGUAACGGGGAAUUAGGGUUCGACUCCGGAGAGGGAGCCUGAGAAACGGCUACCACAUCCAAGGAAGGCAGCAGGCGCGCAAAUUACCCAAUCCCGACACGGGGAGGUAGUGACAAGAAAUACCGAUAUAGGAUCCUACUGGAUCUUGUGAUUGGAAUGAGUACAAUUAAACCCAUAACGAGGAACAAUUAAAAUUGUUGCAGUUAAAACGCUCGUAGUUGAACUUUGGGUUUGGCUGACUGGUCCGCCUCACCGCGAGCACUGGUUCGGCUGGGUCUUUCCUCUUGGGGAGCCACAUGCCCUUCAUUUGGGUGUGUUGGGGAACCAGGACUUUUACUUUGAAAAAAUUAGAGUGUUCAAAGCAGGCAUAUGCUCGAAUACAUUAGCAUGGGAUAAUAGAAUAGGACGUGUGGUUCUAUUUUGUUGGUUUCUAGGACCACCGUAAUGAUUGAUAGGGAUGGUUGGGGGCAUCGGUAUUCAAUUGUCAGAGGUGAAAUUCUUGGAUUCAUUGAAGACCAACUACUGCGAAAGCAUUUGCCAAAGAUGUUUUCAUUAAUCAGGGAACGAAAGUUAGGGGAUCGAAGAUGAUCAGAUACCGUCGUAGUCUUAACUGUAAACUAUGCCGACUAGGGAUCGGGUGGUGUUUCUUUGAUGACUCACUCGGCACCUUACGAGAAAUCAAAGUGUUUGGGUUCU
rnacentral:rRNA from 1 species